rnacentral:rRNA from 1 species
CCUACGGGUGGCAGCAGUGGGGAAUAUUGGACAAUGGGCGAAAGCCUGAUCCAGCCAUGCCGCGUGUGUGAAGAAGGCCUUCGGGUUGUAAAGCACUUUCAGUGGGGAAGAAAGCCUUGGGGCUAAUACCCUCGAGGAAGGACAUCACCCACAGAAGAAGCACCGGCUAACUCCGUGCCAGCAGCCGCGGUAAUACGGAGGGUGCGAGCGUUAAUCGGAAUUACUGGGCGUAAAGCGCGCGUAGGCGGUCUGAUAAGCCGGUUGUGAAAGCCCCGGGCUCAACCUGGGAACGGCAUCCGGAACUGUCCGGCUAGAGUGCAGGAGAGGAAGGUAGAAUUCCCGGUGUAGCGGUGAAAUGCGUAGAGAUCGGGAGGAAUACCAGUGGCGAAGGCGGCCUUCUGGACUGACACUGACGCUGAGGUGCGAAAGCGUGGGUAGCAAACAGGAUUAGAUACCCUAGUAGUC